rnacentral:tRNA from 1 species
ACUAAUUUGGCAGAUUAAUUGUAUCAAAUUUAGAAUUUGAUUAUAGGGUGUUCCUAGUUAGUA